rnacentral:sRNA from 1 species
GCACAUCACCAUACAAAUGAGCCACGCCUGACCUCUUGACCAGCUACAGUAACCCAAAAAAAAUUAUCGUAAGUUUUUUCGAAUUUUUGUGGAAAAUUUGUGAAUUGUAUUCUCAAAUGGAUAAUUAUUUUUACAGAGUCCCCCGAAAUUGCUGAAAAAUGAAGGAGAUGGUAGGUGGAUGCUGCGUUUGUGCAGAUGAGAAUGGUUGGACAGACAAUCCAUUGAUCUAUUGUGAUGGAGAGAAUUGUGAAGUUGCAGUACAUCAGGGUGAGUAGAAGUUCACAGAAAUUGAAAAAUUUUAGUAUUUUUCCCGAUAUUUCGAAAAAAAAUCCAACGUUUCCAAGCAUUGUUUGAAGUUUUGCUUUUUUCCAUCUUAUUAGAUGAAUUUGAUUUUUUUUUUUCGAUUUUCUCUCAAAAAACCAAAUUUUCCGAUUAGGCCCCACCGAAUUUUUAUCAUUUCAGGAUGUUAUGGAAUUCAAGAAGUACCCGAAGGCGAAUGGUUUUGUGCAAAAUGUACGAAAGCAUCAGCUAUGAUGCCCGGCAGUAUAAAUGAGGCAACAUUUUGUUGUCAAUUGUGUCCGUUUGACUAUGGAGCAUUGAAAAAAACUGAUCGAAACGGAUGGGCUCAUGUAAUUUGUGCACUUUACAUUCCAGAAGUGCGAUUUGGGAACGUACAUAGUAUGGAACCAGUCAUAUUAAAUGAUGUACCAACUGAUAAGUAAGUUUUUCUCAAGAAUAUGGGUAAUUCAAUAUGAAAAAUGUGUCUGAUCAAGGGUGAAUAUUUUUUGAGUUUUCGACUUUCGAUUUUUUGACUCUCUGGAAAAUCUCAAAUUUUAAAAAUUUCCGGUACAUUUCUGAACCGAAAUUUUUUUUCCAGUUUUUCGAUUUUUCGACUUUCAAAAAAAAAACAACAACAAAAAAUCUAAACAUUUUAAACUCUUUCUUUGAAAAAAUCUUGAAGUUUUAUUACUAUCUCGAUCAAUUUAUAUAUUUUAUAGAUUCAAUAAACUGUGCUACAUCUGCAAUGAAGAACGUCCAAAUGAUGCGAAAAAAGGUGCAUGUAUGUCGUGUAACAAGUCGACGUGCAAGGUAUUUUUAUUUUUCUUUAAAUUUCUUGUAAUUUAAACGAAAUUUUCAGAGGAGCUUUCACGUAACCUGUGCUCAGCGGAAAGGACUUUUAUGUGAAGAAGGGGCAAUAAGUCGGAAUGUCAAGUAUUGUGGUUAUUGUGAAAAUCAUUUGAAGAAAGCG